AUUGAACGCUGGCGGCAGGCUUAACACAUGCAAGUCGAGCGGGGUGAUGGUGCUUGCACUAUCACUUAGCGGCGGACGGGUGAGUAAUGCUUAGGAAUCUGCCUAUUAGUGGGGGACAACAUCUCGAAAGGGAUGCUAAUACCGCAUACGUCCUACGGGAGAAAGGAGGGGAUCACUUGUGACCUUGCGCUAAUAGAUGAGCCUAGGGCGGAUUAGCUAGUUGGUGGGGUAAAGGCCUACCAAGGCGACGAUCUGUAGCGGGUCUGAGAGGAUGAUCGGCCACACUGGGAGUGAGACACGGCCCAGACUCCUACGGGAGGCAGCAGUGGGGAAUAUUGGACAAUGGGGGGAACCCUGAUCCAGCCAUGCCGCGUGUGUGAAGAAGGCCUUAUGGUUGUAAAGCACUUUAAGCGAGGAGGAGGCUCUUUUGGUUAAUACCCAAGAUGAGUGGACGUUACUCGCAGAAUAAGCACCGGCUAACUCUGUGCCAGCAGCCGCCGUAA
rnacentral:rRNA from 1 species